rnacentral:rRNA from 1 species
AGAGUUUGAUCAUGGCUCAGGACGAACGCUGGCGGCGUGCCUAAUACAUGCAAGUCGAACGCAUUUUCUUUCACCGUAGCUUGCUACACCGAAAGAAAAUGAGUGGCGGACGGGUGAGUAACGCGUGGGCAACCUGCCCUGUACAGGGGGAUAACAGUUAGAAAUGACUGCUAAUACCGCAUAAGCGCACGAGGACGCAUGUUCUUGUGUGAAAAACUCCGGUGGUACAGGAUGGGCCCGCGUCUGAUUAGGUAGUUGGUGGGGCAGCGGCCUACCAAGCCGACGGUCAGUAGCCGACCUGAGAGGGUGACCGGCCACAUUGGGACUGAGACACGGCCCAGACUCCUACGGGAGGCAGCAGUAGGGAAUCUUCCGCAAUGGACGAAAGUCUGACCGAGCAACGCCGCGUGAGUGAAGAAGGUUUUCGGAUCGUAAAGCUCUGUUGUUGGUGAAGAAGGAUAGAGGUAGUAACUGGCCUUUAUUUGACGGUAAUCAACCAGAAAGUCACGGCCAACUACGUGCCAGCAGCCGCGGUAAUACGUAGGUCUCGAGCGUUGUCCGG